ncrna:unclassified sequences RT-12 RNA
UAGCAAUCGCGGCGAAAUCGGAACUGGGUGACUAAGACCGAUUGGAUGAUGUGAGGAGCAUUUUGGUUUAUCCGGCCAGGCGGCUUAGGGGAUUGCCGCCAUCCUAAGCCUGGCCGGUUGGCUAAA